GUUCACUUCCGGGUCAAGGGGAGGCACUGACGCCGUUUCCACAAGGGAAAACUUGAAGACCUUAUCAUAGGAAUUUUGUAUUAUAGACCAAAAUCCUAUAUUACACUAUGGACUAUUUUUGUUGCAAGUUGGAAUAUUCCAGAAGGCUUUCAAGAAUCUGGGAGUAGCAAAGAACAUGGGAGCCCUGGAGCUCGAGCUCCUUAUCCCCUGACAGUCAGUCUAACCAGGCCACUCUAAGUUAGCGGCCAUCCACUGACGGGCCGCUUGUCCCCAAGGGCGGGCUGAGCUCUCUUCACCCCUCAGGCUGGCUCCCCUCAGUCUCCGUCCCAACGGGGCAGCAAGUCUUCUAAGAAGGGGACCCUGUGUUGUGCCUCUUGGGGAGUCAGACAUGUCAGACGGGUGCACCGUGAAAGCAUGCAUGUAAUAAUGUUGGGUUCGCAUCACCACCGAGCAGAAGAGCUCAGUGUGGACAUCAGCGGCUCCACAGGAACUGCCCUGAGACAGCUGCAGCCUGGGGUGGAAGCCGUCCUGCCGUCUCCCUCUCUUGCAGCCUCAAAGAGCACGUGAGAUUUGCUGUUGUUCAGUCGUAAGUCAUGUCCAACUCUUUGUGAUGCCAUGGACUGCAGCACGCCAGGCUCGUCUAUCACUGACUGUCUCCCAGAGCUUGCUCAAAUUCUUGUCCGUUGAGUCGGUGAUGCCAUCCAACCACCUCAUCCUCUGUUGUCCCCUUUUCUUCCUGCCUUCAAUCUUCCCCAGCAUCAGGGUCUUUCCAGUGAGUCAGCUCUUCGCAUCAGUGUGGCAUCGUCCCUGCUGGACCACCUGAGAAGACCCUCACCCUCUGUGACACUGACUCAUUGCAUCGUCCCCCAGAACUACCACCCACUACAGAAAUGCAGGGACGGCCUGGACACCACACACUUUCCUGUCUGCAGAGCCUGGGUGCUGUGAUGGUCUCUUUCUCAAGAUCGUUUCAGUGGACUCACUCUGGCGUAAAACGAAACCAGCGAGUGAAUUCUCACAAAGCUGACAAGAACUGGGAUUUUCCACGGAGAACAGAAGAGAGCACGCACACCGCUCCUCUCCCGAGGUCGACAGUGUCGGGCCUCGUAGCAUCUUAGGAGUUUGCUCUCUCCCUUCUCCCACGUUUGACGGGCGGGAAGUCCAGCCCAAAUCUAAAGUGGCCGUGAAGUCGGCUGACA
ensembl:lncRNA